rnacentral:rRNA from 1 species
GACGAACGCUGGCGGCGUGCUUAACACAUGCAAGUCGAACGGAAAGGCCCUGCUUUUGUGGGGUGCUCGAGUGGCGAACGGGUGUGUAACACGUGAGUAACCUGCCCUUGACUUUGGGAUAACUUCAGGAAACUGGGGCUAAUACCGGAUAGGAGCUCCUGCUGCAUGGGGGGGGUUGGAAAGUUUCGGCGGUUGGGGAUGGACUCGCGGCUUAUCAUCUUGUUGGUGGGGUAGUGGCUUACCAAGGCUUUGACGGGUAGCUGGCGUGAGAGGGUGACCGGCCACAUUGGGACUGGGAUGCGGCCCAGACUCCUCCGGGAGGCAGCAGUGGGGAAUAUUGCACAAUGGGCGGAAGCCUGAUGCAGCAACGCCGCGUGCGGGAUGACGGCCUUCGGGUUGUAAACCGCUUUCGCCUGUGACGAAGAGUGAGUGACGGUAAUGGGUAAAGAAGCACCGGCUAACUACGUG